rnacentral:rRNA from 1 species
GUAGGGAAUAUUGGGCAAUGGUCGGAAGACUGACCCAGCCAUGCCGCGUGCAGGAAGACGGCCCUCUGGGUUGUAAACUGCUUUUAUCUGGGAAGAAAAAGGCUAUGCGUGGCAAAUUGCCGGUACUAGAUGACUAAGCACCGGCUAACUCCGUGCCAGCAGCCGCGGUAAUACGGAGGGUGCGAGCGUUGUCCGGAUUUAUUGGGUUUAAAGGGUGCGUAGGCGGCUGAUUAAGUCAGCGGUGAAAGACUUCGGCUUAACCGGGGCAGUGCCGUUGAUACUAGGUGGCUUGAGUGUCGGAGGGGUACAUGGAAUUGAUGGUGUAGCGGUGAAAUGCAUAGAUACCAUCAAGAACACCGAUAGCGAAGGCAUUGUACUAGCCGACAACUGACGCUGAUGCACGAAAGUGUGGGGAUCGAACAGGAUUAGAAACCCUAGUAGUCC